CAGCAGCCGCGGUAAUACGGAGGGUGCAAGCGUUAAUCGGAAUUACUGGGCGUAAAGCGCACGCAGGCGGUCUGUCAAGUCAGAUGUGAAAUCCCCGGGCUUAACCUGUGAACUGCAUUUGAAACUGGCAGGCUAGAGUCUUGUAGAGGGGGGUAGAAUUCCAGGUGUAGCGGUGAAAUGCGUAGAGAUCUGGAGGAAUACCGGUGGCGAAGGCGGCCCCCUGGACAAAGACUGACGCUCAGGUGCGAAAGCGUGGGGAGCAAACAGGAUUAGAUACCCCGGUAGUCCCUGUCUCUUAUAC
rnacentral:rRNA from 1 species